CCUACGGGUGGCAGCAGUGAGGAAUAUUGGUCAAUGGGCGCGAGCCUGAACCAGCCAAAUCGCGUGAGGGAUGAAGGUUCUAUGGAUCGUAAACCUCUUUUAUAAGGGAAUAAAGAGUGGGACGUGUCCUAUUUUGUAUGUACCUUAUGAAUAAGGAUCGGCUAACUCCGAGCCAGCAGCCGCGGUAAUACGGAGGAUCCGAGCGUUAUCCGGAUUUAUUGGGUUUAAAGGGUGCGUAGGCGCCCUUUUAAGUCAGCGGUGAAGGUCUGUGGUUCAACAAUAGAAUGGCCGUUGAAACUGGGGGGCUUGAGUAUGUUUGAGGCAGGCGGAAUGCGU
rnacentral:rRNA from 1 species